AUUGAACGCUGGCGGCAUGCUUUACACAUGCAAGUCGAACGGUAACAGGCCUUCGGGUGCUGACGAGUGGCGAACGGGUGAGUAAUGCAUCGGAACGUACCCAGAGGUGGGGGAUAACGCAGCGAAAGCUGUGCUAAUACCGCAUGUGAUCUGAGGAUGAAAGCGGGGGACCGAGCAGCAAUGUUUGGCCUCGCGCCUUUGGAGCGGCCGAUGUCGGAUUAGAUAGUUGGUGGGGUAAAGGCCUACCAAGGCGACGAUCCGUAGCUGGUCUGAGAGGACGACCAGCCACACUGGGACUGAGACACGGCCCAGACUCCUACGGGAGGCAGCAGUGGGGAAUUUUGGACAAUGGGCGCAAGCCUGAUCCAGCAAGGCCGCGUGCGGGAAGAAGGCCUUCGGGUUGUAAACCGCUUUUGGCAGGAACGAAACGGUGUCCGCUAAUACCGGGCGCUAAUGACGGUACCUGCAGAAUAAGCACCGGCUAACUACGUG
rnacentral:rRNA from 1 species